rnacentral:rRNA from 1 species
AUUGAACGCUGGCGGCAUGCUUUACACAUGCAAGUCGAACGGCAGCACGGGAGCUUGCUCCUGGUGGCGAGUGGCGAACGGGUGAGUAAUGCAUCGGAACGUACCCAGUAGUGGGGGAUAGCCCGGCGAAAGCCGGAUUAAUACCGCAUAUUUCCUGAGGGAGAAAGCGGGGGACCUUCGGGCCUCGCGCUACUGGAGCGGCUGAUGUCGGAUUAGCUAGUUGGUGAGGUAAAGGCUCACCAAGGCGACGAUCCGUAGCUGGUCUGAGAGGAUGAUCAGCCACACUGGGACUGAGACACGGCCCAGACUCCUACGGGAGGCAGCAGUGGGGAAUUUUGGACAAUGGGGGCAACCCUGAUCCAGCCAUGCCGCGUGAGUGAAGAAGGCCUCGGUUGUAAG